rnacentral:lncRNA from 1 species
CCCAGCAAGUUUAAAUACAACAAUAUAGGGAUAUAUCAUGAUUGAAGAGUAUGAAUAAUAAGCUGGCUAUAAUUCAUCAAUAUAAUUGAGAACUAGCAGGAACAAACUUUUGACUGAACAAGUUUUAAACAUGAACAAACAUUUCUGAACCAACUGGUAAUGAAGGUGAUCAGCCUUUCAUACCUGACUUAUACAUGCAAGAUGUACAGAGUACAAUUUUCAUGGCAAUCAGCAAUGAUUAACCAUAAGCUUGAAUAAAACACUCUUAUUAGAGUUAAG